rnacentral:rRNA from 1 species
AUUGAACGCUGGCGGCAGGCCUAACACAUGCAAGUCGAACGGUAACAGGAAGCAGCUUGCUGCUUCGCUGACGAGUGGCGGACGGGUGAGUAAUGUCUGGGAAACUGCCUGAUGGAGGGGGAUAACUACUGGAAACGGUAGCUAAUACCGCAUAACGUCGCAAGACCAAAGAGGGGGACCUUAGGGCCUCUUGCCAUCGGAUGUGCCCAGAUGGGAUUAGCUAGUAGGUGGGGUAACGGCUCACCUAGGCGACGAUCCCUAGCUGGUCUGAGAGGAGGACCAGCCACACUGGAACUGAGACACGGUCCAGACUCCUACGGGAGGCAGCAGUGGGGAAUAUUGCACAAUGGGCGCAAGCCUGAUGCAGCCAUGCCGCGUGUAUGAAGAAGGCCUUCGGGUUGUAAAGUACUUUCAGCGGGGAGGAAGGGAGUAAAGUUAACACCUUUGCUCAUUGACGUUACCCGCAGAAGAAGCACCGGCUAACUCCGU